GCUGGGCGCGGUGGAGCGUGCCUGUAGUCCCAGCUACUCGGGAGGCUGAGGUGGGAGGAUUGCUUGAGCCCAGGAGUUCCGGGCUGCAGUGCGCUCUGCCAAGCCGGUGUCCGCACUAAGUUCGGCAUCAAUAUGCUGACCUCCCAGGAGCAGGGAACCACCAGGUUGCCUAAGGAGGGGUGAACUGGCCCAGGUCGGAACAGAGCAAGUCAAAACUCCUGUGCUGAUCAGUAGUGGGAUCGCACCUGUGAAUAGCCACUGCACUCCAGCCUGGGCAACAUAGUGAGACCCCGUCUCUA
rnacentral:SRP_RNA from 13 species